rnacentral:rRNA from 1 species
CAGCCGCCGCGGUAAAACGUAGGGGGCAAGCGUUGUCCGGAAUCAUUGGGCGUAAAGCGCGUGUAGGCGGCUCGAUAAGUCUGCUGUGAAAGUCCAGGGCUCAACCCUGGAAUGCCGGUGGAAACUGUCGAGCUCGAGUCCGGAAGAGGCAAGUGGAAUUCCUGGUGUAGCGGUGAAAUGCGCAGAUAUCAGGAGGAACACCAAUGGCGAAGGCAGCUUGCUGGGACGGUACUGACGCUGAGACGCGAAAGCGUGGGGAGCAAACAGGAUUAGAUACCCCAGUAGUCCCUGUCUCUUAUAA